rnacentral:rRNA from 1 species
AUUGAACGCUGGCGGCAUGCUUUACACAUGCAAGUCGAACGGCAGCACGGACUUCGGUCUGGUGGCGAGUGGCGAACGGGUGAGUAAUACAUCGGAACGUACCCAGUAAUGGGGGAUAACUAUCCGAAAGGAUAGCUAAUACCGCAUACGCCCUACGGGGGAAAGAGGGGGAUCGCAAGACCUCUUGUUAUUGGAGCGGCCGAUGGCUGAUUAGCUAGUUGGUAGGGUAAAGGCCUACCAAGGCAACGAUCAGUAGCGGGUCUUAGAGGACGAUCCGCGACACUGGAACUGAGACACGGUCCAGACUCCUAGGGGAGGCAGCAGUGGGGAAUCUUGGACAAUGGGCGCAAGCCUGAUCCAGCAAUGCCGCGUGCGUGAAGAAGGCCUUCGGGAUGUAAAGGACUUUUGUCCGGGAGCAAAUGCCUGGUGUUAAUAGCACUGGGAGCUGAGAGUACCGGAAGAAUAAGCACCGGCUAACUACGUGCCAGCCGCCGCCGUAAUAC